rnacentral:rRNA from 1 species
ACCGACUGCUAUUUGGGUGAGGAUAGCCAUGCGAGUCGAAUGGGAUACCUAAAUUUCCCAUGGCGAACUGCUCAGUAACACAUGAUCAACUUACCCUAUUGAGAAAGAUAACCUCGGGAAACUGAGGAUAAUAUUUCAUAGUUGAAUUGGCUUGGAAAAGUUUUUCAACAAAAGGGAUAGGGAAAAUGGUCUCUAUCCGCUAUAGGAUAGGAUCGUGUUCGAUUAUGGUAGUUGGUGAGGUAACGGCUCACCAAGCCGAUAAUCGAUAGGGGCCGUGAGAGCGGGAGCCCCGAGAUGGGUACUGAGACAACGACCCAGGCCUUACGAGGCGCAGCAGGUACGAAACCUCCACAAUACACGAAAGUGUGAUGGGGUUACCCAAAGUGUUCAUUAUUGAACUGUGGUAGGAGAGUAAUGUCCCCUACUAGAAAGGAGAGGGCAAGGCUGGUGCCAGCCGCCGCGGUAAAACCAGCUCUUCAAGUGGUCGGGAUAAUUAUUGGGCUUAAAGUGUCCGUA